CAGUAGCCACGGGAAUACGGAGGGUGCAAGCGUUAAUCGGAAUUACUGGGCGUAAAGCGUGCGUAGGCGGUUCGUUAAGUCUGCUGUGAAAUCCCCGGGCUCAACCUGGGAAUGGCAGUGGAUACUGGCAAGCUAGAGUGUGUCAGAGGAUGGUGGAAUUCCCGGUGUAGCGGUGAAAUGCGUAGAGAUCGGGAGGAACAUCAGUGGCGAAGGCGGCCAUCUGGGACAACACUGACGCUGAGGCACGAAAGCGUGGGGAGCAAACAGGAUUAGAUACCCCUGUAGUCCCUGUCUCUUAUAC
rnacentral:rRNA from 1 species